ACGAAUAGCUGAGUUAGUCUCACUACCCACUGACCAACUUAUCCAGCAACGACAUCAAAUGUCCAUUGGUGUUUUGAAACCCAGAGUCUGAGAAGAAUCAAUACAUGUUGCUGCUGACACCUCUUUUGACAGCCCAGAAUGACCCCAGGGAAUGGCACAAUGAAGAUGGGUCAAGAUAAACUUCACAGGCAUGAGACUUCCAUAUUAGGUAAUAAUAGAUGUUUGUCAAGUUUGAUAAUUAACAUACCCAGCAUUUGAAACAUUCUGGAUAUUAAAACAGAAAAUGUUUGAAAUAUAGUCAGAGUUCAGUAUGGGGAAAAUUCUUUGAUCAAGAGAAAUGCAAAACUAUAAGUAGCUAAUCUGCUUUGAGUCAGUCUGUGUAGUCAGCUUGCAAAUUCUCCCCAUAGAUAAGAACAUAAACCUAUCAAGGUACCUCCGUGGGAAGUCAAUCAGUGAUUAGCCAGUCAAUGGGGUGUGCCAGUACAAACAUGAUCUAAGAUUAGUUAACUUGAAAGGUUCUGAAUUCUUUCAACCUGGAUAGGAAAGAAACUGGUUAAGAGGUUUCCAAUAGUGACAAACAUAAAUCCUACCAACAUUCUUUCAAUCAUGAAGUCUGUAAUAGGCUAGAAAUAUGCAGAAUUGAAAAAGAAACUGAAUAAAUAAAGAAGUAAACUAAGAACAGCUAGAUAAAUGUAGACGAAAUUGUGCACGAUCCUGAAGUUGGCAAAUAAAACAUUCUUGUAUGUUUUCUGAUAUUUAUAGAUAUUUUAUUUCUGAGAAGUAGAUAAUUCAUUGUAAUUUUCCUAUAUGUAAAUAUUUACUUUCGCAUCUUGUAUUUAAUUACCUUCUUCCUUGUUUUAACCAAAUGUAGAACAAGAAACAAAUUAA